AUUGAACGCUGGCGGCAUGCCUUACACAUGCAAGUCGAACGGCAGCACGGGUGCUUGCACCUGGUGGCGAGUGGCGAACGGGUGAGUAAUACAUCGGAACGUGUCCUGUAGUGGGGGAUAGCCCGGCGAAAGCCGGAUUAAUACCGCAUACGAUCUACGGAUGAAAGCGGGGGAUCUUCGGACCUCGCGCUAUAGGGGCGGCCGAUGGCGGAUUAGCUAGUUGGUGAGGUAAAGGCUCACCAAGGCGACGAUCCGUAGCUGGUCUGAGAGGACGACCAGCCACACUGGGACUGAGGCACGGCCCAGACUCCUACGGGAGGCAGCAGUGGGGAAUUUUGGACAAUGGGCGAAAGCCUGAUCCAGCAAUGCCGCGUGUGUGAAGAAGGCCUUCGGGUUGUAAAGCACUUUUGUCCGGAAAGAAAUCCCUGGUCCUAAUAUGGCCGGGGGAUGACGGUACCGGAAGAAUAAGCACCGGCUAACUACGUGCCAGCAGCCGCGGUAAUACGUAGGGUGCAAGCGUUGAUCGGAAUUACUGGGCGUAAAGCGUGCGCAGGCGGUGAUGUAAGACCGAUGUGAAAUCCCCGGGCUCAACCUGGGAACUGCAUUGGUGACUGCAUCGCUUGAGUAUGGCAGAGGGGGGUAGAAUUCCACGUGUAGCAGUGAAAUGCGUAGAGAUGUGGAGGAAUACCGAUGGCGAAGGCAGCCCCCUGGGUCAAUACUGACGCUCAUGCACGAAAGCGUGGGGAGCAAACAGG
rnacentral:rRNA from 1 species